GACGAACGCUGGCGGCGUGCUUAACACAUGCAAGUAGAACGCAGUUGCGAACGGGUGAGUAACGCGUAGGUAACUGCCUGGUAGCGGGGGAUAACUAUUGGAAACGAUAGCUAAUACCGCAUACUACCAGAUGGACCUGCGUUGUAUUAGCUAGUUGGUGGGGUAACGGCUCACCAAGGCAACGAUACAUAGCCGACCUGGUGGGGUGAUCGGCCAAACUGGGAAUGGGGCACGGCCCCGACUCCUACGGGAGGCAGCAGGAGGGGAUCUUCGGCAAUGGGGGGAACCCUGACCGGGCAACGCCGCGUGAGUGAAGAAGGGUUUCGGAUCGUAAAGCUCUGUUGUUAAGGAAGCGGUACUUAACCAGAAAGGGACGGCUAACUACGUGCCAGCAGCCGCGGUAAUUC
rnacentral:rRNA from 1 species